rnacentral:rRNA from 1 species
GUAGACCCGAAACCGGGCGACCUACCCAUGAGCAGGAUGAAGCGAAAGUAAAAUUUCGUGGAGGUCCGAACCCACGAGCGUUGAAAAGCUCGGGGAUGACUUGUGGAUAGCGGUGAAAUUCCAAUCGAGCCCGGAGAUAGCUGGUUCUCCCCGAAAUAGCUUUAGGGCUAGCCUCAAGGUGAGAGAUACGGAGGUAGAGCACUGAAUGUCCUAGGGGGUAUUGCACCUACCGAAGACUAUCAAACUCCGAAUGCCGUCAUCUUAUACUUGGGAGUCAGACUGUGGGUGAUAAGAUUCAUAGUCGAAAGGGCAACAGCCCAGAUCGUCAGCUAAGGUCCCUAAAUGUAAGUUAAGUGGUAAAGGAUGUGGGAUUGCACAGACAACCAGGAUGUUGGCUUAGAAGCAGCCACUCAUUCAAAGAGUGCGUAAUAGCUCACUGGUCGAGUGAUCCUGCGCCGAAGAUUUCCGGGGCUAAAACUUACUACCGAAGCUACGGCAUCAGUAAUGAUGGGUAGGGGAGCUUCCCAUACGGGUUGAAGCAUGACCGUAAGGACAUGUGGACAGUAUGGGAGUGAGAAUGUUGGCAUGAGUAGCGAGAUGUGGGUGAGAAUCCCACAGGCCGUAAACCCAAGGUUUCCAGGGGAAGGUUCGUCCGCCCUGGGUUAGUCGGGACCUAAGCUGAGGCCGAAAGGCGUAGGUGAUGGACAACAGGUUGAUAUUCCUGUACUACCGAUAACCGUUUGAGAGAAGGGAUGACACAGUAGGAUAAGCUAAGCACACUGUUGGUUAUGUGUGCCCAAGCAUUGAGGCAGUCAAAGUAGGCAAAUCCGCUUUGAUAAUGCUGGGAUGUGAUGGGGAGCGAAAUUUAGUAGCGAAGUAGCUGAUUUCACACUGUCAAGAAAAGUCUCUAUCGAGGUUAAAGGUACCCGUACCGCAAACCGACACAGGUGGGUGAGGAGAGUAUCCUAAGGCCAGCGAGAGAACUGUUGUUAAGGAACUCGGCAAAAUGACCCCGUAACUUAGGGAUAAGGGGUGCCACCAUCAGGUGGCCGCAGAGAAUAGGCCCAAGCGACUGUUUACCAAAAACAUAGGUUUCUGCUAAGUCGCAAGACGAUGUAUAGGAGCUGACGCCUGCCCGGUGCUGGAAGGUUAAGGGGAUCUGUUAGAGCAAUCGAAGCAGUGAACUUAAGCCCCAGUAAACGGCGGCCGUAACUAUAACGGUCCUAAGGUAGCGAAAUUCCUUGUCGGGUAAGUUCCGACCCGCACGAAAGGCGUAACGAUUUGGGCACUGUCUCAACAACAGACUCGGUGAAAUUGUAAUUCCGGUGAAGAUGCCGGAUACCUGCGACAGGACGGAAAGACCCCAUGGAGCUUUACUGUAGCUUGACAUUGGGUCUUGGUACUACAUGUACAGGAUAGGUGGGAGGCUUUGAAACCAGGACGCCAGUUUUGGCGGAGCCAUCCUUGGGAUACCACCCUUGUAGUACUGGGACUCUAACCAUAGGCCAUGAAUCUGGUCUUGGGACACUGUCAGGUGGGCAGUUUGACUGGGGCGGUCGCCUCCCAAAAGGUAACGGAGGCGCUCAAAGGUUCUCUCAGUACGGUCGGAAAU